AGUGAACGCUGGCGGUAGGCCUAACACAUGCAAGUCGAACGGCAGCACAGUAGGAGCUUGCUCUUACGGGUGGCGAGUGGCGGACGGGUGAGGAAUACAUCGGAAUCUACUUUUUCGUGGGGGAUAACGUAGGGAAACUUACGCUAAUACCGCAUACGACCUACGGGUGAAAGCAGGGGAUCUUCGGACCUUGCGCGAUUGAAUGAGCCGAUGCCGGAUUAGCUAGUUGGCGGGGUAAAGGCCCACCAAGGCGACGAUCCGUAGCUGGUCUGAGAGGAUGAUCAGCCACACUGGAACUGAGACACGGUCCAGACUCCUACGGGAGGCAGCAGUGGGGAAUAUUGGACAAUGGGCGCAAGCCUGAUCCAGCCAUACCGCGUGGGUGAAGAAGGCCUUCGGGUUGUAAAGCCCUUUUGUUGGGAAAGAAAAGCAGCAGGUUAAUACCCCGCUGUUCUGACGGUACCCAAAGAAUAAGCACCGGCUAACUUCGU
rnacentral:rRNA from 1 species